CGGCUAGGCUUGUGAAAAUUUAAACUUUAUUUUGUUUUAAUUAUAAUUUUUUUAGAUAAUUUUAAUAAUUAUAGGUUAAAUUUUAAUUAUUAUAGGUGUUAAAUUAUAAUUUUAAAUUUUGGGAAUCGAAUUAGAUUAGUACCUAAUUAGUCAAAAAUUAAAAGAGCAGGAGUAAAGUGGUAUUUAAACUGAAAGAAUAUUGGCAGAUUUUCUAAAUUAUCUUUGGAGGUUGAGUAAUAAUUGAGAACCCUCAUUAACUACUUUUAAAGUUUGUCUCAUGUAUGAUCGUUUAUUUUAUACUUAAGGUAUAUAAUAAAAAAUUUUUAUUUAUAAAAAUAGAUAUAUAUUUGGUUUAUGUAAAAGUAAAAUUUGACCUACAAUAAUUUAUGUUGUGGAUUUGUAAAUUUGUAUUUAUAAUGAAAAUGUAAAAGACAGUAAAAAAAUUUUUAUGAUUUUUUGAAGAUUAUUUAGAUGUGGC
rnacentral:rRNA from 1 species